AGCCUAUUAAAGAUAUAAAUGACAGUAUGGGAGAGAGUAUAGUACAAGAACAACAUCUUUUAGUGGAAGAUCCAUCGGGCACAUCAGUGGAACGCGAAUUUGAAGGAGUUGAUGCCCAAAGUGAUACAAAGGAAGAGAAUAAGACCAACGCAACUGAGCUCCAACAGAAUAUAGAAACUAGUAUAGAAGA